rnacentral:rRNA from 1 species
GACGAACCGUGCGAACGUUGUUCGGAUUCACUGGGCUUAAAGGGCGCGUAGGCGGCCUGCUAAGUCGGACGUGAAAUCCCUCGGCUCAACCGGGGAACUGCGUCCGAUACUGGCGGGCUUGAAUCCGGGAGAGGAAUGCGGAAUUCCAGGUGUAGCGGUGAAAUGCGUAGAUAUCUGGAGGAACACCCGUGGCGAAGGCGGCUCUCUGGGACGGUACUGACGCUGAGACGCGAAAGCGUGGGGAGCGAACAGG